AACCAGCGCAGAAGGUCGGGGUAAAGCGCCAGCAUCCAGCGUGCAGAAUUCUAAGCUGACCUUCAAGAUCUUCACCCCUGCAUAAUCUCCAGGACUGUGAAUAUGAUGGAUUUUACUCCUGUGAUUAAGUUCUAUGGCACAGUUGACUUUAAGAAAGGGAGAUGAUCUUGGGUGAGCCUGACCUAAUCAGGCUGGUGCCCAAACUCUGUAAUCAGAGUCCAAGAACGGCUCAGAAUUCCGUUAGGAGAGGAUUGCGGAUGUCUGCGAUGAAGGAAUACAAUGCCUGCCUGGUACUUGACAUGCCCUGAAGUGCUAUAGAGGAGCAGGUUUCCUUUCACUCCAUUUUCCACGUGGGAACACCGAUUGUCAUCGUUGAGAGAGACUGCAUUUCAUAAUAUCUAAGAACAACUGCGACUGUGCUGGGGAGGGGGAACUGCUUAAAGGAUGUAAUUAUUCCAGGCUUCUUUCACAUAUAUCUGUUUAAUGUACCUUUCCAUAGUGCUCUCAGUUGCCCCUGGGGUAGUUCCAGAAUUUCCACACGGGAGAGGCUUUGAGCUGGCAGUUGUCAUGGAGGGUGUAAGGGAUGACACACGGUCUAGAGAUGGCUUAGGGACGUGUCUGGAAGCUGUUCUUACUCACUGGAUGUUUAUUAGGGGAGGUUUGAAGGGAGAUGAUGGCAAUUAUUGAGGGGCCAAGCCCGCCCCCACCUCAUUGGCACCAGCCUGGGUAGUCUACAUGAUGGCGUACGCGUGAAUAAUUAGGUAGAUUUUGUGCUCUAAUAUUUUACCACAUUAGAAAUUAUGUAUCCCUUUAUGAAAAUCGUUUAAAACACAUUAAAUAAUAGCAAUGUUACCACUUUUUGAGCACCAAGUGCUACAUACUUCUCAUGUAUUUAUACAUAUUCUCAUUAAAUGCUCAUAUCAACUCUGAAAGACAGGUAUCAUAGAAAAAUCAUAACAUUGUAUAGACUGUGUUUUUUGAGAACCUGGUCAGGGGCUCUUCUCUGCAGGUUACGUGAAUUAGCUCAUUUACGUUAAUUGGCUUCAAUUCUAUGAAGCAGAUACUUCAGUAGCUUGUCUAAAUUCACACGGUUCCUAAGGGUGAAGGGGAGAUUUAGGCCUAGGCAAUCUGACAUCAGAACCUCUACUCGUAACCUCUGUACUGCAUUUACACCGUUUACAGAUAAGGGAAUAGAGACUGCCUUACUUCCUCCAGGUUGUCCGGGUCCUGUGUUGGAGCA